ACACGUGUGCCCAUCAUGAGCUGAGCUGUGGAGAAGAAUGAUAAGCCAGGAGAAUUGUGUCAAUCUGGACAGAACACCUAACUUUUUAAGGCUAAGGCAUGUGGAUGAAGAAGUGUCAGACAUUUUGCAGUAGAACAAAAGACAAUCACAGGGUUUUGUGUGUUUUUCAGGCUGUAUGGCCAGGUUCCAGAAGUAUUCUCUCAUGACGUUUCGCCCACAUCUAUGGCAGGCAUCCUCAGAGAAAAUCUACACAUUUCAUAUACUGAACAACUUUAAGGGCUCCUAUCUUCCUGUCCAACUCACUUUCUUCAAACAUUUAACUCAAACUUUUUUUCUAAUGCCAAGAAGAUAUUCCUUGUACUGACAGCAUUCAACCACAUCAAAGGACACAAUAAAGUUACAGAUUGCACAAAAGUUUAAAAAUGGUAUAUGAAAGAUUAAAAAUGGCAGCCACACAAAUGAAAUUUCUGGAGUAUUAGAACUACUUUCAAAGUAAGUACCUCACAAUUAAACAGGAAUUAACACUUUUAAACCAGGAACAGAAAAUCUUUCAAAUUUUGUUACAUAGUGUUAUUUAUGGAGGUCGUAUGGUUUAAGUAUCUAAAGAAUCGCUCCCUUUUGCUGCAGUCUUGUUUUUAAGCAUCUACAUUCUAUUCUAUCUGUAUGGAUAACUAAAGAACCAAUGGGGAAAAAUCCUUAUAGUAUUUGAAGAACACGGACUAAAAGAAGAAGAAACAGCUACGCUUUACUUUCUUGUGCUAUAAAUAAGGUCCAUUUUCAGAUCUUCAUAUUAUUACAAUUUUAUAAUAUGUAUAUCUUAUAAAGACUCCUCAGCAUUAAAAACAAAGAAAUAAAACGAGAGAAUAUUCAUUUUACCUUACUAUACUGUACAGACAAACCUAACUAUGGUAAGCUGCAUAUUUUAACACAUUCAAAUUAGAGGAUCUACAUAAAAAGAUUUCAAAGGAUUAGGAAUCUUCAUAAGUAUUUAGAAUACUUCUGGAUCAAUGCAUAAUGUUUUUAUUUACAUACCUCAAGUAACAUUUGACGCCUGC